rnacentral:lncRNA from 1 species
AGAUAUGGCUGCUAUGAAAUCUGCUUCUGAUGUGAAGAAAGAUCUCAGCUCUGCAAAAAAUUUUAGACUCUGGAUUCUGUUAUCUUCCUGUGAAUAGUACCACAUUUUUUAUAGCAGACAGAUUAGUUAUAGGCCAAUUGUCUUGUCUCCUUCCAAAGGAGAAUGAAGGGGUGUUUACAUUUUUUAAUCCUUAUGUUGCGCUCUGACAUGAGGUGUCCUUCCUCACUGAAGCUCAAACAAAAAGAUUAACUUGAAGUAUGUACUACACUGCUACACACUUCUGAAACUGGAGUACAGUUUCAACUCUGUGCAGGGAGGGUGCAUGAGAGCAGAAUAUCUGUGGGACAUCUCUCUGGAACAUCAAUAUUACUACAGGAUUUGGAAGAAAAAAUUAAAAAAAUUUCCAAGAGUGAUAAGGGGACUCUCCAACUGUACCACCUGUCAUCUGAGCAUACUCCAGCCCAUGACCAUCAGCCCCAGCACCUCCAGAUUGGCAAAGCAUCAGAACU